GACGAACGCUGGCGGCGUGCUUAACACAUGCAAGUCGAACGGAAAGGCCCUGCUUUUGUGGGGUGCUCGAGUGGCGAACGGGUGAGUAACACGUGAGUAACCUGCCCUUGACUUUGGGAUAACUUCAGGAAACUGGGGCUAAUACCGGAUAGGAGCUCCUGCUGCAUGGUGGGGGUUGGAAAGUUUCGGCGGUUGGGGAUGGACUCGCGGCUUAUCAGCUUGUUGGUGGGGUAGUGGCUUACCAAGGCUUUGACGGGUAGCCGGCCUGAGAGGGUGACCGGCCACAUUGGGACUGAGAUACGGCCCAGACUCCUACGGGAGGCAGCAGUGGGGAAUAUUGCACAAUGGGCGGAAGCCUGAUGCAGCAACGCCGCGUGCGGGAUGACGGCCUUCGGGUUGUAAACCGCUUUCGCCUGUGACGAAGCGUGAGUGACGGUAAUGGGUAAAGAAGCACCGGCUAACUACGUGCCAGCAGCCGCGGUGAUACGUAGGGUGCGAGCGUUGUCCGGAUUUAUUGGGCGUAAAGGGCUCGUAGGUGGUUGAUCGCGUCGGAAGUGUAAUCUUGGGGCUUAACCCUGAGCGUGCUUUCGAUACGGGUUGACUUGAGGAAGGUAGGGGAGAAUGGAAUUCCUGGUGGAGCGGUGGAAUGCGCAGAUAUCAGGAGGAACACCAGUGGCGAAGGCGGUUCUCUGGGCCUUUCCUGACGCUGAGGAGCGAAAGCGUGGGGAGCGAACAGGCUUAGAUACCCUGGUAGUCCACGCUGUAAACGGUGGGUACUAGGUGUGGGGUCCAUUCCACGGGUUCCGUGCCGUAGCUAACGCUUUAAGUACCCCGCCUGGGGAGUACGGCCGCAAGGCUAAAACUCAAAGGAAUUGACGGGGCCCCGCACAAGCGGCGGAGCAUGCGGAUUAAUUCGAUGCAACGCGUAGAACCUUACCUGGGUUUGACAUGGAUCGGGAGCGCUCAGAGAUGGGUGUGCCUCUUUUGGGGUCGGUUCACAGGUGGUGCAUGGCUGUCGUCAGCUCGUGUCGUGAGAUGUUGGGUUAAGUCCCGCAACGAGCGCAACCCUUGUUCACUGUUGCCAGCACGUUAUGGUGGGGACUCAGUGGAGACCGCCGGGGUCAACUCGGAGGAAGGUGGGGAUGACGUCAAGUCAUCAUGCCCCUUAUGUCCAGGGCUUCACGCAUGCUACAAUGGCUGGUACAGAGAGUGGCGAGCCUGUGAGGGUGAGCGAAUCUCGGAAAGCCGGUCUCAGUUCGGAUUGGGGUCUGUAACUCGACCUCAUGAAGUCGGAGUCGCUAGUAAUCGCAGAUCAGCAACGCUGCGGUGAAUACGUUCCCGGG
rnacentral:rRNA from 1 species